CCUACGGGUGGCAGCAGUGAGGAAUAUUGGUCAAUGGCCGAGAGGCUGAACCAGCCAAGCCGCGUGAGGGAAGAAUGUCCUAUGGAUUGUAAACCUCUUUUGUCAGGGAGCAAAGUCACCCACGUUUGGGUGUCGGAGAGUACCUGAAGAAAAACCACCGGCUAACUCCGUCCCAGCAGCCGCGGUAAUACGGAGGAUGCGAGCGUUAUCCGGAGUUAUUGGGUUUAAAGGGUGCGUGGGUGGGUUAUCAAGUCAGCGGUAAAAUCGUGGAGCACAACUCCGUCCAGCCGUUGAAACUGAUGAUCUUGAGUGGGCGAGAGGUAGGCGGAAUGCGUGGUGUAGCGGUGAAAUGCAUAGAUAUCACGCAGAACACCGAUUGCGAAGGCAGCAUACCGGCGCCCGAGUGACGCUGAAGCACGAAAGCGUGGGUAUCGAACAGGAUUAGAUACCCUUGUAGUC
rnacentral:rRNA from 1 species